GAAUUUUAUAUAAAUUUAAUGAAUUUAUUAAAUUAAAAAUUUAUUAGAUUUAUAUUUUGUUGGGAGGAUAGUUAAAUUAUGAAAACUUUAAAAAUAUAAUUCCAUAGAUAAAUGAAUUAUGAUAUUAUACGAAUAGUUAAAAAGUUUAAAUAGAAUUAAUUACCUUAGGGAUAACAGCGUUAUAUCUUUAGAGAGAUCAUAUUAAUAAAGAUGUUUGC
rnacentral:rRNA from 1 species